CAUUACUAAGUCAGACCUUGCAAGACAGCUAUAGACAGUUAUGACUUUUACGUAAAAGUGCCAUAGGCACUUAUUCAGACACGAGACAUGUUGAAUUGCCAUCAAAUUUACGUACCAAGAUGCAUAUCUGAGAGGAGCUACUGACAAAUAAUCACUGGAAAGUGGAGUGAGGAAACAACAAAAUUUUAUGAAAAAAAAAAUUAGGAAAGAGCAAUAUUCCUGAGGACCACUUUAGCACAACACACAGAGAGACACAAAGAAACAAAGUGGAAGCGCUGUGGAAAAUGUGCUGUCAUUUAGUAUCAUUUUCUGAAUCCUGUCUGGCCAGUUUUAUGAAUACGAGGCCAAUGGAAACAAGUGCCGCUGCGGACUCCCAAAGAUCCCAAUAUUACUGCGCUUUUCGAAAUAAAACAGGCCAAAACUGCAACCAACCUAUCAUCUUCAUAUAAUGUUACGCAUUCUCUUUAUCAAGUACAUUUGCAGUAAGCUUGAGUGACUCAUCAUUUUCGCAGAGUAUCCCCAGCACACGUCAGAACUCUCCUCCCCUCACCAUCACCCUUUCACCCCAGAAGAGGGUUUAUAUUCCAGUUCAGUGCAAUACGCCAACAGCCCUCAAGCCACAUAACUGCUUCUUAUUUUCACUGCAGCCUCUCCAUGUCUCUUUUAUGAGGGUUUUGCCAGAGCAGGACGGCUCUUUGGGUUUAGGAAAGAAAAGGCCCCACAGCUGCCAAAAACGAUCGGUGGUUGAGAAACAAUGGCACGCCCUGUGUGAUUCUCACUGCUCCUCGAACCCCAGACGUCCUCCUUGCUGUAAUCCUCUGUUCCUUUUAUUUGUCAGAUCAUGGUUGCCUCCUCCAAUUGGUUGUGUCAGCUUUGGCCCAGGAACACUGAGACGACCUGACCAACAUGGUCGUGCCUCUUGCCAAAAGGACAGAGAAGAAAGGGAAUGAGAGAAAUGCUUUAAUUGCUGCAAGAAUCUAGACAGUUUGGGAAAAUUUGUUUGAGAAAUGUGCGGGUAAUAAGACAGAGGCGAGGCGAAAAGUGGCGGUGUGAUCCAGCGGACUCGAAUUUGCUGCACUUCCACUUGCGACUUGUGUGGCACACACUCUCGCCUGGGCCACAUUGAGACAACGGCGGAGAAUCGAGAGCAAUUAUGAAAGUGUGGGUGUGUGUUUGUCACAGUGACGUGGAUGGUGGCGGUUAUGUAGAUGCAGAGGAAAACCAUGGGUAACUGAAGUUGACAGAUGCGGAAGGGGUGUACACUUCCAAGAUGCGAAGGAAACAAUUAAGUAAAUAUGACUGAGCAGAGCAAGUUCCCAUAGACAUGAAGUCAACACACCACAGCCUAAUUACUCUCGGAAGUAGAAUUUAUUCAGAUAUCACGUUUUGGGUUUGACAUAAGUUGAAAGGACUUUUGAAUAAUUCUGAAUAUUUGGGAUAUUAUUGAUUCUUCCUUUUACAGCAAAUGAUCCUGGAAGAAUUAUUUUUACGGUAGCUAUUACUGUAGUAAUUUCUAUGGAAUAAGUGCAGAAAGCUGCUUCAGCCCCACUGCUUUGGACUUUCGCUGAGAGCUGUGAAAGUGAUUACCGCUGUGGUUUCUGUCUGCAUUUCAAACCUCUGCAGCAGUUUCAUUCAGUGUUCAACUUUGACAGAAAAUAUUUGAAUAAAGCACAAAAUUGUGUCAUCAAAUACCUACACACUCAUUCACUUCUGAGAGGUUCGGAGCAAAGAGACAUUACCGCCCAUUUCAGUGAGUUUAUUGGAAGGGAUGCGUGGGGAGAACAAGAUUAAUGGCUUUAACUUUAUCUUGGCAAAUCAAAUUCCAAUAAAGCUCAAAGAAAAAUUAAAAUCAAGCCAGUGCGAGCACUAAACUAUGACUUGAUUGAUGCGGGUUGGGUAGAGUAGCUCCAAAAGCCUGCAGGUGAUUCUUUUACAGCCCCAAUAUCCAAUUCAAAUGGAGGUUUUAUUAGCAGACGAUUGUUGAUACAGGGACGCUCAUUUCCUAAAUGAAGUGCUGCUCACCUGGACGUGCCUGUCAGGAAGAAGGAUUUAUAAUCUUCUGGUUUAACAUUACAGUGUAUAAACUUAUGGAUAUUUAAUUAGAACCCCUUAAUCUUUGUUAAAGUUAAUUUGAAGAAAAUGGGUCCCAGCAAGCUGGACUGAGGGUCGUAUGUGGAGCACCUUUUUUGGCCGUGUAUUAUAAUGCAUUUAACAGAGACGUUAUCGUGACCAUAUAUUGGUGAGUUGCAAACAUUUCUGAAUAACCUCUUUUUUCGUAAAGUUCAAGCAGUUCAGUAUUUUCUUCAGAAUUUAAUGUGUAGCUCAAAGACACUUAAGCAGGGUGAAUCCGAGGAUACCAGCGUUGGAAUGGAACUACCAUUGAGUCUGACCAACACUGACUUUGUUCCCCGGAGUCAUGCUUUGCACAAAGAGAAGCUUUUGUUUGAUAUUUUGAUAGUUUGAUGACUCAAGUCUUUCUGGGUAAAGAAACCAUGUCAUGUCAUUGUGUAUAAUCUCUCAAUUUAAAGGCAGUUUUCCAACAGAAGAGUUACAGCUAUUUCAUAAUAACUCUCUAUCUUUAUUGCAGACUGUGACUCUCAUUUUCUUCCCAGUCUCCCUUUCAUUCCUGCUGUCCUCCUUGCAUCAAUGCUGUGUUGCGUCUUUCAUUCGCAUUUUGGAGAGUCAUUCAGUCGGUCGAGUUCUCUGCCUCCUUCACUGCAGGAUGCCCUGCUGGCUGUGGGGUUCAGGGUGAGGGCAACCUUGUGAUGCCAGUAGUCUUAGAAGUACUGAUAGGGCAGGCCAGAGGGAGGCCUGAUGGAUGGAAACCAUUAUGGGUUUUGAGCCCCUUCAGGCUUGGGUCAAAGAGGGCCAACAGAGAACAAGACUGGAUAAAUAUGGAUGACCUGACAGGAAAACAUGAUCGUAACCUCAAUAACCUCACUUAGACCUUGGACCAUUUUGUAAACUUAGUGUAUUACAAGCCAAUCACAACACCAAAAUAAAGGUAAAGACAAAGUACAUAUGAAUAUUAGCUUUUUCUCUUUCCUGCCUUAACAUGUUUCAGAUAACAUCAUGCAGACACCUUUUCAGCAACAAACCAACAUGUCCCACAUCUUUGCUCAUGACCAUUUUUAUCUUCAUAGCUUUAGCUGCACUUGAGGAUAAUACCCAUUAACGCCAGUAUGGAGGCAUGGGGCAAGGCAUAUGCGGAGCUGGAGUGGACGCAGUUGGUGGUGGCCUGUGGUCAGGUGCCAGUCAGGCCAUCAUCAAGAGAACGCCAGCCCCAUGAGAGAAGAUAUCACCAUAGCCUGGUUGGCUGACAGCUUCAGGGCCCUUAUUGAAAAAUCAAUGUCCAUUUGUGCGUCCAGCUCACCUGGCUGUCUGCCAGCUCGGCUGAAGUCACCUAAUGAAGCCUGAUCCCGUUACCUGAUUCCUGAUUCACUGAGUCAAAGUGACUUUGCAGCUGAAGUCAUCCACCCAUCAGAAACCUCGGGGCCAUUUUUUACAGUGUACGGUACAUGACGCAGAUAUACAAUCCCUCUCCAUCCGGCCGGGUGCUGUGCUCUUUCCUCCAGCCUUGGAGAAGAAAAGGGGGUUUUGAUGAUGAAGUGUUUAGAAGACCAUUCCUGAUGUACCUUCAGUAAAGGGCCAAGAUCAAUGCACAGCCGGAGCCAGAUGUUGCACAAUACCACACUGGGGAAGCAAGGUUUCUAAGAGGAAACCUCCAGAGGAAGUUGUGUUCCUGCAUUUAUAAAUGUACUCCUGGGCAAGCCAAUAGAUUGCAGGGGAGCAAAUACAUUGACGAGAGAGGAUAGAGUGGCUUGCAUGAAACUUUCACGUCAUCUUUUUUUCAACCCAUGUGCAUUUUUAGAGAACCACAGUGAUUUACAGAGCUCAGCGCUGUAAUCCAGGGAUUUCACACAGCCUAUUCUCAGAGCAUCAGACUCUGGAUGCUGACAGGGCAAUAAGUGCGAUGCUUUGGGUUCCGGCUGGAGGUGGCAUUGUGAGGUCUAAUGCUGCCAUCUUCAGGUUGUCCUCAGCCAUUAAAAUGAAAUAAUAUGGUGUGGAUCAUAUUGGUAUAAAUGAAUGAAAGCGAUCAUUUAUAAAGAUGAAUGUCUGCUGUGGCUGGCCCCUGCUCUCUCUCAUUAUAAUCUGUAUCAGGCACAGUGAGGAUUAUUGGUAAUUUAAUUACAUUGUUAGGAUCCUUAAGCCAUUAUUUCUCCAUUGUUUUUACUAGUGGAAUUUAUUAUAGCUGUUUCAACUUUCUUGUGCUUUGAAUAAAAGAAAAUUCAAGUGGACUAAGUCUUCAGUUUAUGUGCCUUUCAACAAUAAGUAUACCAACACAACAAAAGUAUACCCACACAUGAUAUACCAUAAUAAUCUAUUGUCUUUCACUCACAAAUUCUGAUUCUUAGAGGUUCGGCAAUUUUUUUACUGUAGAUCUCCCCAAUAAGUCUAUAAAACAAUCUCACACAGAGCACAUCUGUCAGAAUUAUAGCUGAUACAAAGAAAAUACCUCGUAGGACUCCUUUUUCAAAGUCUCUGCACUGGCUUCCAGUUAGUUUUAGGAUAAGUACGAUUCUUGCUCUUGUCUAAGAAUGUGUCCAUGGAUCUGCCCCUGAUUACUUAGGUGAUAUGAUGCAAACACAUUUCUUUGGUAGAGUCCUUAAAUCCCCAGAUUGUCUGCUGUUCACCUUGAACCAAACUCAAUGUGAAUCUGAGGACAGCAACAUCAGUCAAGUGAGCAGCUGUUUAAAAUGAACCUUUUUAUUUUGCUUUCCUCUGUUAUUACUAUUUACCUGCUAUUUUAUGAUUAAGCACACUGCUGCUCGGUUAGAAGAUUACAGUUAUUAAGGUGAUGUUGGUAAUGCAAUGUUAUGGUAAUUAUAAUUGCAGUUAUGUGAUUACUGUUUUUUUAUUUAUUUAUUUAUUUUAUGUUUUUGUUUUCUUUAACUGUUUAGU